AGUAAGCGGACGAAAGCAUACACGGCGUCCGAGGACAAGCUCCUUUGUGAGUGUUGGAGGGACAUUGGGCAAAACCCCAAGGUCGGCGCCGAACAGAAGGCAUCAACCUUUUGGACUCGUGUCCAUCCUGAGUUCCAUGAACGCAAGAAGUUCCCGCUGUACCAAAUGCAAAGCAAGCGCGGGUGGGUGUCCAUCUCGAAGCGAUGGAAGGUGAUCCAACAAGAGUGCAACAAGUUUUGUGCCACUUUUGAGAGCAUCAGGGCACGCCCAGUGAGCGGCAUCGGCAUGCAUGUGCCCCUCUUUGUGUCAUUUUGUUUAUGCUUACAUAUCCAUUUGCCAAUAUGCUUGCAUGCAUUUCAUUUGUAG
rnacentral:rRNA from 1 species